AUUGAACGCUGGCGGCAGGCCUAACACAUGCAAGUCGAACGAGUGGAGGACGGGUGAGUAAUGUCUGGGAAACUGCCUGAUGGAGGGAGCAAACGAGGGGAAACGGUAGCAAAUACCGCAUAGCACAGGAUGUGCCCAGGUGGGAUUUGCGAGUAGGUGGGGUAAAGGCGCACCUAGGCGACGAUCCCUAGCUGGUCUGAGAGGAUGACCGUCCACACUGGAACUGAGACACGGCCCAGACUCCUACGGGAGGCAGCAGUGGGGAAUAUUGGACAAUGGGCGCAAGCCUGAUGCAGCCAUGCCGCGUGAAUGAAGAAGGCUUUCGGGUUGUAAAGUACUUUCAGCGGGGAGGCGUUACCCGAAGAGGAAGCACCGGCUAACUCCGUGCCAGCAGCCGCGGUAAUAC
rnacentral:rRNA from 1 species